UUGGAGGACAAAACCCACCCAUCCAGGACUCAGAGGGGUUAGUGGUGAGCUAUUUAGUGCCUGCUCCCUGUCUCUUGUGCUCUACCUGUGCAUGCUGCAUCCCAUGGACCUUCAGAUCCUGGCACUGACAGUCAUUUGUAAGGAGACUGCAAGUAAAGAGUCUCUGGCCAUCAGAGAUUUCAAUGCACUGUCAAUCUACAAGAAGGGUAUAUGAUAUGCAGUUGUUUCACAAACACUGUAACAAAUGAUUUUGAAGAGGACAUCUUAGGAUACUCUGAGUUACUCCAACUUGGACAUUUCACAGAGUAUCUUUUGCAAGUGGGUCAGAGAGAUACGCCAUGAGAAGCACUCAACUUGCAAUUGUUGAUUCUGAAGAUGGAAGAAGGGGGCCACGAGCCAUGGAAUGCAGCAGCCUCUAGAAGAGGAUGGCCCUAGGCUGACAGGAGCAAGAUAACAGGGACUUUGGUCUUACAACUGCGUGGAAUUGAAUUCAGCCAACAAUUCAAAUAAACUUCCAGAAAGAAACACAGCCUGCUGAUACCUUGACUUUAAUCUGGUGAGACCCAUAGUGGACAUCUGAUAUACAAAAUUGUAAGAUGAUAAUUACGUUUUUUUAAGCCAUUAAAUUUGUGGUGAUUUGUUUCUACAGCAGCCUAGAAAACUAAUAUGCAUAUAGUAGUGUGUAUGUGUGUGUGUGUGUCUGGCUUAUUGUACUUAAUAUAAUAUUUGCAAGAUUCCUAUCUGCUAUUAUUGAUUUUCAUUGUUGUAUAUUAUCCUUUUGUUCAAAUAUGCCAUAAUUUAUUUACCUAUUCUAUUGUUGAUGGACAUUUGGUUAUUCCCAGGUUUAGGCUAUUACAAACAAUGCUGCCAUGCACAUCCCUGUAUAUAUUUUUGUUGAACACAUGUACUCAUUACUAUUGGGUAUAUACCUAGGGAUAGAUCAUAGGGUAUAUGUUUGGCUCUGAUAGAUACUGACAAAAAAUCUUCCAAUGUGGUGGUUUACUUCCCAUGAGCAAUGUUUGAGACUCUCUACAUGUUCACAAACACUUGGUAUGAACAGUCUUUAAUUUUAGCCAUUCUGGGAGUACCACCAUUUCAUGUGAAUUGACCGUUUUACAUAUCCUCUUUUAAGAAAUGCCUGUUCAAGUCUUUUGUCCAUUAAAAAAAAAUGUUUUUUUUUUCUCAAAGACUUGUAGCUGCUCUUUACAUAUUCUGAAGAUAAAUUUCUUUUCCAGAUGUCUGGAUUACAAAUAUCUUUUCCUGUGCUCUGUCUUGCCCCAUUCUCUUCAUGGUGUCUUUAGAUGAACAGAGGUUUGUAUUUUAAUGUAGUUCAUCAAUAUUUUCCUUUGUGAUUAGUAUGCUUUGUGCCUGUUUAAUACUUAAUCUUUGCCUAUCACACACUUAGGAAGUUAUUUUUCAAUAUUAUCUUCUAGACUUUUAUUGUUUUACAUUUUAUAUUUUUAUCUAUAAUCCAUGUAGAAAGAUUUUUGUGUAUAGUGUGAGGUUGGGUCAAGAGCCAUUUUUAAAAAAGUUGGAUAUCCAAUUGAUGCAGUGUCAUUUACUAAAAAGAUCAUCCUUUUCCACUUCAGAGCAAUUUUACUUUUGUCAUAAAAUCAAGAGGUUGUAUGUGUGUGUUAUUGUUUCUGCACUCUAUAUUAUUCCAUUGGUCUACUUGUCUACACUUAUACCAAUUUCAUACUGCCUGUAAUUAUGUAACCUCAUAAUAAAUCCUAACAUCAUAUAAUGUAAAUUCUCUGACUUCAUUUUUCUGUGUUUUGCCUAUUGUUGGUCUUUUAUAUUUCCAUAUUAAUAUUAGAAUCACUUUGUCUAAUCUAUCACCAUCACCAACAAAUAAAUAAAAAAUAUCUUCUGAGAUGUUGAUAGGAAUUGCAGUGAAUCAAUAUAUCAGUUUGGGAGAAAUGAAAUCUUUGCCACAUUGCAUCUUCCUAUUCAUGAAUAAGGUAUACCCCACAUUUAUGCAUCUUCCUUUAAUAACAUUUGUGGCUUUUUUGUAUAGUGGUGCUCUUUUGUCAGUUCUAUUCCUAUGACUUUAAUGUUUUUCACUCCUACUGUCAAUGAUAUGUUUAGUUUUCUUAUUGUUUAGUAUUGUUAUAUGGAAAUACAACUGAUUACUUUGAUAUUAACCUUGUUAUUUAGUAAAAUUGCUAAAGUUACUUUUUAAUUAUAGCAGUCUAUCUAGUUAUUUUGAAUUUUAAACAUACAGAAUUAUGUUACCAGAAAAUAAGGAUCAUUUUAUUGUUUUCCUUCCAAUCAUCUUACUUUUUCUUGCACCUCCCCUUAAUAGCAGUAGUGAUAGAAGGGUAGAGUAGUGAUAGAAGGUGUCUCAUACCUGUUUCCAGGGAAAAAGCUUCCAAAAUUUCAUUACUAAGUAUGGUGUUUAGGCUGGCUCCCUGGCUCACACCUGUAAUCCCAGCACUUUGGGAGGAUCACUUGUGGCCAGGAGUUAGAACAGCCUGACCAACAUGGUGAAACUCCAUCUCUACUAAAAAUACAAAAAUUAGCCAAGCAUGGUGGUGCAUGGCUAUAGUCCCAGGUACUCAGGAGGCUAAAGCAUGAAAAUCACUUGACUAGGGGAGGCAGAGGUUGCAGUGAGCCAAGAUCUUGGCACUACAUUCCAGACUGUGUGAUGGAGUGAGACUCU
rnacentral:lncRNA from 1 species